rnacentral:rRNA from 1 species
GACGAACGAUGGCGGCGUGCUUAACACAUGCAAGUCGAACGGAAAGGCCUGCUUUCCCUUGUGGAUUGCGGGUACUCGAGUGGCGAACGGGUGAGUAACACGUGAGUGAUCUGCCCCCAACUUGGGUAUAAGCCUGGGAAACUGGGUCUAAUUCCCGAUAGGACUGCAGGGUGGUGCCUGUGGUGGAAAACGAUUUUCUAGUGGUUGGGGAUGAGCUCGCGGCCUAUCAGCUUGUUGGUGGGGUAAUGGCCUACCAAGGCGGCGACGGGUAGCCGGCCUGGGAGGGUGGACGGCCACAUUGGGACUGAGAUACGACCCAGACUCCUACGGGAGGCAGCAGUGGGGAAUAUUGGGGAAUGGGCGGAAGCCUGAUGCAGCGACGCCGCGUGGGGGAUGACGGGCUUCGGGUUGUAAACUCCUUUCGACCGAGAGGAAGCCACCUGGUUGGAAGGGUGGUGACGGUAGUGGUAGAAGAAGCACCGGCUAACUACGUG